GCGGGCGUAGCUCAAUGGCAGAGCGGAAGCACUCCAAGCGUUCCGCAUGGGUUCGAUUCCCGCCGCCGCUCCA
rnacentral:tRNA from 1 species